UACGUAGGGUGCAAGCGUUGUCCGGAAUUAUUGGGCGUAAAGAGCUCGUAGGCGGUUUGUCGCGUCGAAUGUGAAAACCCGGGGCUCAACCCCGGGCCUGCAUUCGAUACGGGCAGACUAGAGUUCGGUAGGGGAGUCUGGAAUUCCUGGUGUAGCGGUGGAAUGCGCAGAUAUCAGGAGGAACACCGGUGGCGAAGGCGGGUCUCUGGGCAGUAACUGACGCUGAGGAGCGAAAGCGUGGGGAGCAAACAGG
rnacentral:rRNA from 1 species